CCUACGGGAUGCACCAGUGGGGAAUAUUGCACAAUGGGCGCAAGCCUGAUGCAGCCAUGCCGCGUGUGUGAAGAAGGCCUUCGGGUUGUAAAGCACUUUCAGCGGGGAGGUAGGCGGUGAGGUUAAUAACCUCAUCGAUUGACGUUACCCGCAGAAGAAGCACCGGCUAACUCCGUGCCAGCAGCCGCGGUAAUACGGAGGGUGCAAGCGUUAAUCGGAAUUACUGGGCGUAAAGCGCACGCAGGCGGUCUGUCAAGUCGGAUGUGAAAUCCCCGGCCUCAACCUGGGAACUGCAUUCGAAACUGGCAGGCUAGAGUCUUGUAGAGGGGGGUAGAAUUCCAGGUGUAGCGGUGAAAUGCGUAGAGAUCUGGAGGAAUACCGGUGGCGAAGGCGGCCCCCUGGACAAAGACUGACACUCAGGUGCGGAAGCGUGGGGAGCAAACAGGAUUAGAUACCCCAGUAGUC
rnacentral:rRNA from 1 species